GAGGUUGUGGCUCAGCGGUACAGCGCUCCCCCAGCACGGGCGAGGCCCUGGGUUCGAUCCUCAGCACCACA
rnacentral:tRNA from 1 species